GGAACUUUUCUGCUACAACGCAGUGUGGUUACCUUCCAGUGGGGCCAGUUUGCAAGAAUUCAGGGAAGAAAAUAGUAAUCUGUGCACAACAGCCCCCCGCAGUGAGAGAGAAACGUUUCUUCCAAGCGUUAAGACUGUAGGACGGAUGACGCCAAUUAGCUUCAGAGAAACAGCAUCCACUUAGCUGGGAAUCUGCAUAUGAGUCUCAGGUGGCUGAAGGUAAAUAUCUGCAAUUUGAGCAAUACUGCUUUGUUCCAACUGGACAUU
rnacentral:lncRNA from 1 species